CUGCCUUAAACUAAUGAGUAAGGAAAACAAAGCGGGCGGUGAGAGCUGACCGCAGCACCGAUUACUCAAAGAAAUGGUGCAAGAAUUUAUGGAGGGGUUAUAGGCUGGCCGAGCGUUGACGCUGCUUACUUUGCAGAACUCGCUUGAGCGGGCCUCCCAACCC
rnacentral:snRNA from 1 species